ACGCUGGCGGCAGGCCUAACACAUGCAAGUCGAGCGGAAACGACACCAUCRAWYCUUCGGRUGMKUUAAUGGGCGUCGAGCGGCGGACGGGUGAGUAAUGCCUAGGAAAUUGCCUUGAUGUGGGGGAUAACCAUUGGAAACGAUGGCUAAUACCGCAUAAUGCCUACGGGCCAAAGAGGGGGAYCUUCGGGCCUCUCGCGUCAAGAUAUGCCUAGGUGGGAUUAGCUAGUUGGUGAGGUAAUGGCUCACCAAGGCGACGAUCCCUAGCUGGUCUGAGAGGAUGAUCAGCCACACUGGAACUGAGACACGGUCCAGACUCCUACGGGAGGCAGCAGUGGGGAAUAUUGCACAAUGGGCGAAAGCCUGAUGCAGCCAUGCCGCGUGUAUGAAGAAGGCCUUCGGGUUGUAAAGUACUUUCAGUUGUGAGGAAGGGUGUGUAGUUAAUAGCUGCRCAUCUUGACGUUAGCAACAGAAGAAGCACCGGCUAACUCCGUGCCAGCAGCCGCGGUAAUACGGAGGGUGCGAGCGUUAAUCGGAAUUACUGGGCGUAAAGCGCAUGCAGGUGGUUCAUUAAGUCAGAUGUGAAAGCCCGGGGCUCAACCUCGGAACUGCAUUUGAAACUGGUGAACUAGAGUGCUGUAGAGGGGGGUAGAAUUUCAGGUGUAGCGGUGAAAUGCGUAGAGAUCUGAAGGAAUACCAGUGGCGAAGGCGGCCCCCUGGACA
rnacentral:rRNA from 1 species